GCCUACGGGGGGCAGCAGUAAGGAAUAUUGGACAAUGGAGGCAACUCUGAUCCAGCCAUGCCGCGUGAAGGAUGAAGGCCCUACGGGUUGUAAACUUCUUUUCUCUUAGAAAAAACUACUGGUUUCGUACCGGUACUGAUUGUACAAGAGGAAUAAGCAUCGGCUAACUUCGUGCCAGCAGCCGCGGUAAUACGAAGGAUGCAAGCGUUAUCCGGAUUCACUGGGUUUAAAGGGUGUGCAGGUGGGGUAAUAAGUCAGUGGUGAAAGCCCCCGACUCAAUCGGGGAACUGCCAUAGAUACUGUUAUUCUUGAGUGUGGUUGAGGCGGAUGGAAUAUGACAUGUAGCGGUGAAAUGCUUAGAUAUGUCAUAGAACACCGAUCGCGAAGGCAGUCCGCCAAACCAUUACUGACACUGAAACACGAAAGUGCGGGGAUCAAACAGGAUUAGAUACCCCAGUAGUC
rnacentral:rRNA from 1 species